GACCCAGGUGUGACCCAGGUGUGACAGGUGUGUCUCACAGCUGAUGGAGCUGAUCGAGCGCGUGGAGCGCCGGGUGUGUGUGACCCAGGUGUGACCCAGGUGUGACCCAGGUGUCCCAGGUGUGACAGGUGUGUCUCACAGCUGAUGGAGCUGAUCGAGCGCGUGGAGCGCCGGGUGUGUGUGACCCAGGUGUGACCCAGGUGUGACCCAGGUGUGCCAGGUGUGACCCAG